UAUUAAUUUUACUUCCGCGUGUUCAGAAAGCUAUGACCAGCUGCUCAAGUGAAAACUUCUUACGCUACCAUCGGAAUGAUCUCCGAUCAAUUAUGCCGCCGAUCUAGCUGCUUCUUCUAUCCAUUAAAAAGAGAAAUUAAAAAGAGAAACUCAGAGAACUUGAUGUUGUCAGAUACAUCAAAUACAGACAUUAAGAUGAAUUGCAUACUUUCCCAGCAAGUUUUGUCUUUAAAGGAGAGGCUCUCUGAGCUCUAUUUCUAACGUGUCUUUGUUGGAAAUUGUUACCAAAACUCACGGGAAGCAAAAUGGAUAUCCUAAGAUUUUUAGACGGCAAGUGUUUGUACCUUGGAAUUGAUGAUGGUAGACAAAAUGUUGGUACAACAGGUAAUAAAGAGUUGACUACUGUUUGCUAAUAAGGUAAUUUCUUGGGAUUUUUCUCUUUGCAAUCAUUGUUCGUGAUGUAUUUUACAACUGACCAGUUUGAAGGAAGCAAAUGCUCUUCAAGUACUUCUAGUUUUCUCACAAUUCGGAGAAAUAAAAAAUAUUGAUUUAUAUACUUUAUACUUCUAAAGCUGUACUCUGUCAUGAUUGAUUUUUGGUUUGCAUAUAUAAUUUUGGAAGCCCAAAGAGGGUCUUGAAUUCUCCGUAAGAGUCUCGCCAAAGAACCUCCCUUGUGCAUCCCAGUGUCUCCUUGUUUGAACUAUCAUGCAUAAUUCCUACAAUCGUGCAGAAACUAGAGCUGUAAGGAGACUGCAUCAUUCUUCAGAAGCUAUCUGGUCUGAGCUUCCAUGGCAGUCAUCCCAUCAAUACGAUUAAUCUUCCACCCCAAGUUGUGGUGGCGGUGGAUUCUCUGAUGUAAGGUAAUGUUAUCAAAUUUCUUGGGAGGGUUAGGUCUCUUUCAGAUUUUAUCUCAAUCAAAUAUGUUAGUUACUCACACGACUUGAUGUUUCUCCCUUCAGGCCAAGUGUGAAAAUGAAACUUGUUAAUUUGCAGGUCCUUCAAUAUUUCUGUAUCCACUUAUUUCAGUAUAUUUUUCUGGCCAAAGAAAAAGGAAAACUAAACUUUAGUUAACAUUUACUAUAUUGGGUUCUUGUUUUUUAUGGUGUUUUUGUUUUCCUUGACCUUCGUAAUGCAGAUAUCAAUUCAAGUUUUGUUUCCAAAGGACCAAUACAUAAAUUACUUAAUAACAUAGUGAUGAGUUUUGACAGUGCUUCUGACAUUGAGCAGCAAAGUAGAUCUCAGAUAUAUCCACUGUUUUUGUUUAACCUAACUGCCCAAGAUCUGUACAUGAUUUGACUUCUGGAGCCUUCAAAGACCUCUGUGGAAUAUAAGGUGAGAUUUUGUGUUGGCGUUUAUAAUUUAGUUGUUUGGGGUUUGGGAAAUGAGUCGGAGUCUUUGGAUUUAUUUAUGUAGAAUUGAGUUUGUUCUCUCAUUGCACAAAAACUUCAUGCUAACGCAAACCUAACUUUUAUAUCUAGUACUUUUUUAACCACCAUCAAGAAUACUCUUAGUUAUAAGCCUCAGAUAACCAAUCCAGAUAUUAUUCAAUUCCAAAGCAGAGUUAAUAAUCCCUUCUCAUGUAGCUGUGUUGAUGGGAAAUUCAUGGGCCAUCAGUUUGGUGUGCAGGUCAACUAUUACUACUUAUCCGAGAAUCGCUCGUCUUUAUUGUUCGAACCUUACAACAGUUGAAAAGUUGCAGGAGUCUAACAGUUAUGAUCCUAAAAUUGUUCCUGCAAAUGCUAUAGUAAAUAUUAUUGUGAAGUGCUCUUGUGGGGAUAGUCAUGUUUCAAAAGAUUACGGACUAUUUAUAACUUAUCCUCUUUGCACUGACCAGAAUUUGGUUACAGUAGCCAAUGAAUUUAAUGUCCCACAGAAGUUGUUGGAAGACUAUAUCCUGAAGCAAAUCUUGGCAUUGGAUAGGAGAAGUACCACUGCAGGAUAAAUUUCCAGAUCUCAUGUUACUAUCUAGCAACCCUGAAAUUGUUGCGUCUGAUUGUUGGUCCCCCCAGGGUUGGAAUCUAAACUUCAGAAGGCACUUAAAUGAUUGGGAGGUAGAAAGAGUAGUUGACCUGCUAAAAGAAGUGGAUACUUUUGGUGGGACAAUAAUGGAGCCUGAUAGACUUAGAUGGAGACACAGUUCAGAAGGAAAUUUCACUGUAAAUAAGUUAUACAAGAGGGAGAAUAGCAUUAUGCAGGAGGAAGAGCUAAAGAUAUGGAGAAAUGUCUGGAAGAACAUAGCCUCUACACAAGUGAAAUGUUUCAUAUGGCUAGUGGUAAGAAAGGCAUGUCUUACUCAUGAAGUGUUACAAAAGAAGGGGAGAGUUGUGGUGACUAGAUGUUUUUUGUGCAAUGAGACUAGGGAGACAAACAAUCACUUGUUCCUACACUGUAAAUUCACUGCCCAAUUGUGGAACAUGUUUUUCAGUCUCACAAAGACAGUGUGGACAAUGCCGGAACAUACAGCCGAUCUAAUGAGUUGUUGUAUGAAAAGAGGGGGAAGUAAAAGUCAGAAAAAUGGUGGAGGAUAAUAUCCUCUUGCAUAUGGUGGUCAGUCUGGAGGGAGAGAAAUGGAAGGUGUUUUAAAGACAAAAUCAGAUCAGUCCAUGAUGUGAAAUGGAACUGCCUGGAGAGUGGAGACUUUAUUUUUUUGGUGUAAACAGAACUGUAUAAAGGAAAUAGAGGAGUUAGUAGAAUUUCUAGGAUCUUUGUAAAGCUAGAGUCUACUUGCUUUGUCACUUGUUUCUGAUGGUGGCCAGCAUUCCCAAUGCUGAAGAAUACAACAUUACUAAUCCUCAAAAAAAUCUUGGCAGGGGAAGUGGUCUGGUUUUCAUUCCUGGAAAAGAUCAAAAUGGAACUUAUCCACCAUUAAGAACUUCGUAAAGGUAUUCUCCAACCCCAAUUAGCUCCUAAUCAUUUCAUGAAUGCUAUAUUGGUAGCUAAUUGUUGUUUCUUGCUUUUCACAGCUCAAAAGGUUGGCCUUUACUGCUACAGUGGCAUCGUUUUCAACUUAUCAAGUCUGAGGUAUCAAAAUCGCUCUGAAUGUGAUUGUAAUCUACUAAACAUUGUGUUAUUGACAGGAAUCUCAGGUGGAGCAAUAGCUGGCAUACGGGUUGCAGUAGUUCUUGUGGUAGUCCUUUUAGUGUCUUGCCUGUAUCUUACCUUUUAUAGAGGCAGGAAAACGGAAGAAAAAUUGUUUCUUAACUUGGAAUCUUACAAACACAGUAGUAAUAAGCAUGUUCCUGGUAAUUUUAUUGAUUUCAAUCUUACUGAUGUAUGCUUAAUUACCCGUCAAACUCUAUGGUGGAAAUUCCUGUUUCUUGUUUCUCAUUUCUCAUUUCUAUUGCCUUAGGAAUGAGGAAUCAUCAUCAUCUUCAUCAUAAUGACUUGUUAGAGAUAUUACUCUAUUUUCCAUUCGUUACAAAAAUAUAAGCUUCCUGCAAUCGAUCCUGGUUAAUGAUAAAAGUAUGUCAACUGUUCUGUGGAAGCAAUGUUUUGGUUCAUCCUUUGAAUAAGCCUUGUAAUUUCUUUAAAUGACUCGGGUCAAGCAAAUUUUGAGGAUUCUUCAGAAGGGGGACCUCUUAAUAAGGGUGCUUCUCCAGAGGGUCCAGAGGAUUGCUGUGGAUAAAUCUGUAGAAUUUUCAUAUGAUGAACUCGCUAAUGCCAGUGACAACUUCAGCACAGCCUACAAGAUUGGCCAAGGUGGUUUUGCUUCUGUUUACUAUGGAGAGUUCAGAGGCGAGAAAGCUGCUACGAAGAAGAUGGAUAUGCAAUCAACAAAAGAAUUCCUUGCUGAAUUGAAGGUUUUGGCACAUGUUCAUCACUUGAACUUGGUAAAUUCAUUACUCAUACUGAUAUACUAUCUUUUCUUACUUAAUUAUAACCUCUUUGGCACCUGCUCCCAGUCUAUGGGAAAAAAAAUCAACAUCAUGGACUCAUGGUUGGUUAAACUUGCAAACUUCAGCUAUCUUUGAACUUAAGUGGUAAUUGUAAUGCAAUUUUCAAAAGUGGUCUGAGCCACUUAGCUUGAUAAUGUGAUACUUUUCAUAGUGAAAGUCAGGAUUGGUGAUUUAACUCUGCCAUACUUGAGAUUUAGCAGAUCUGCUGAUGAUGAAUUCAUUCACUCCAUAUGUCAUAAAGAAUAUGAGGUAAUAUUUCACGUGCUGAAACAAUUGCAGGUACGUUUGAUAGGAUAUUGCAUUGAAGGAUCCUUGUUCUUACUUCUUAGUAUACGAAUACGUUGAGAAUGGAAACCUAAGCCACCAUUUGCGCUAUUUUAACUAUGGUUUCGUAUGCUUGCUUUUACACCAGUGACAUCAAAGUGCAGCCAUUAUAUCAUGCUUUCCCAGCAAGCUUUGGCUUUAAAAGGAGAGCCACUGAGCUCUAUUUCUGACAUUUCUUUGUUGGAGAUUGUUACUAAAACUCACAGGAGCCCUAAUGAAUAUCAUAAGGACAGCAAAGUGUUCGUACCUUGGAAUUGAUGAUUGUAGACGAGAUGUUGGUACAACAAUCAUUGUUCAUGAUGUAUUUUACAACCAACCAGUUUGAAGGAAGCAAAUGCACAAUAAGUACUUCUAGUUUUCUCACAAUUCAAACAAACAAAAAAUAUUGGCUUACAUACUUCAUUUCUAAAUUUGUACUCUGUUCUGAUUGAUCAUUUGGUUUGCAAAUAUAAUCUGGAAGGUCAAAGAGGGUCUUGCAUUAAGCGGCUCUACGAAGAAUUGCCCUUGUGCAUCCCAGUGGGUUUGGGAUUCAUCUGAGUUCCCUUAACAAAUUGAAUGCAAGCGAUGGUUCAUUCAAGCUCUCAAGAUACAUUUCAGGUCCUGAUGUUUACACAGUGAGGGUAUACAGGACCCAAAUUGAUGUAUAAGUAUCUUUUCUACACUUUGUCUCCCUAACAACCACUGUUUGAUUUGCAGGUCAUUCAAUAUUUGUGUAUCCACUUAGUUUAGUAUAAUUUUCUGAAUAAGGAAAACUUAUCUUCGGUUAGCAUUUACCAUAUUGGAUGUUUUUUUCUUUACAGUGUUCUUGCUUUCCUUAACCUUCGUAAUGCAGUUAUCAAUUCAAGAUUUGCUUCCGAAGGACCAAUACACAAAUUACUUAAUAAUUUACUAAUAGAGAAGGCCCUUGCAUCAGUUCUGGCCCAUUUAUUCUGGGAGAACAAAGCUUUCUAGUUUCUUUUGGUUGCAAAACCAAACAGGUCAAUGUUACAAGGGCAUAUAGUGCAUAUUUUAUUUUACUGAUUGGAGUGUUGUAAUUCUUAUUACAAUGUUUUUGCUGCCUCUUAGACGACUUUUUCCAGUUUGAACUUUAUCUCCUGGUUUUUGCUUUACCCAAUAA